GGGGUGACACUGCCGAAAGUCUUCGCCUGGGUGGGGAUGAUGGAGCCGCAGAAUCCGAGCCAAGACGCCGUGUCUUGCUUGGCCUCCUGGAAUAUGUGACUACAGUGAAGACUUACCUGCAAUCCCAGCCUCAUCCUGACUUGUCUGUGGCCUGUCUGGGCGGCUGGUCUGUGUGACUGUUGAAAAAGGGAGCCAAACAUUAUUACCAUGCUUUGUGUAAAAACAACCACUGCAAAGCAUUAUUGUACUGUAACCAUCUAUUAGGUAUUGUUUAAACACAUUUUGUACGCUUAAGAGCUUCUAGCUUCAUGCUUUUGAGUAGAAUAUCCAAAUGUCCAUGAUGUGGCACACAAUAAAUAUGUUAAUUUUU